GAUGAACGCUGGCGGCGUGCUUAACACAUGCAAGUCGAGCGAAGCAGUUAAGAAGAUUCUUCGGAUGAAACUUGAUUGACUGAGCGGCGGACGGGUGAGUAACGCGUGGGUGACCUGCCCCAUACCGGGGGAUAACAGCUGGAAACGGCUGCUAAUACCGCAUAAGCGCACAGAGCUGCAUGGCUCAGUGUGAAAAACUCCGGUGGUAUGGGAUGGGCCCGCGUCUAAUUAGGCAGUUGGCGGGGUAACGGCCCACCAAACCGACGAUCAGUAGCCGGCCUGAGAGGGCGACCGGCCACAUUGGGACUGAGACACGGCCCAAACUCCUACGGGAGGCAGCAGUGGGGAAUAUUGCUCAAUGGGGGAAACCCUGAUGCAGCGACGCCGCGUGAGCGAAGAAGUAUUUCGGUAUGUAAAGCUUUAUCAGCAGGGAAGAUAAUGACGGUACCUGACUAAGAAGCCCCGGCUAACUACGUGCCAGCAGCCGCGGUAAUACGUAGGGGGCAAGCGUUAUCCGGAUUUACUGGGUGUAAAGGGAGCGUAGACGGCAAGGCAAGUCUGAUGUGAAAACCCAGGGCUUAACCCUGGGACUGCAUUGGAAACUGUCUGGCUCGAGUGCCGGAGAGGUAAGCGGAAUUCCUAGUGUAGCGGUGAAAUGCGUAGAUAUUAGGAAGAACACCAGUGGCGAAGGCGGCUUACUGGACGGUAACUGACGUUGAGGCUCGAAAGCGUGGGGAGCAAACAGGAUUAGAUACCCUGGUAGUCCACGCCGUAAACG
rnacentral:rRNA from 1 species